CAUAUGCUCAUUCUGGAACUAAUCCCAGUUCUGGAUUGUGCCCCGACAAUGCUGUUCAUUGACGGGCUUAGGCUUUCUCCCUCCUGAGCCAAUCACUAUGGUAGAAAGGAUGGAAUGACUGCUCUCUUCCAACAACAUCACUGUGACAUCAUAAGAGAGAUUUGAAAAGCAUCUUGGAGGACUUUCUAUGUCAAGCUCCCCAGAUGCACACCUUGAGACUAGGAUUUGCUGACUAUCUCUUAGGGUACAUCUUGUGAGAUGUGGUUUGGGAAAUGGUUCUGUGACCAAGAGACUGUUACAGGCUUUUAAAGUGACAUAAUCAGACCAAGAUUUAAGGUAUGGAGUGAAAAAGGAUGGACCAGAAGCAGAGGGAUCAGAGAUGUUGAGAUCACCUUGCCUUCAGCAAAGAUGGAGCAUCAUGCGUGAUUCUCACAGAGCUCAAUAGACGUCGGGCAAGUGGAAGGCCAUCAGACCUCUCAGGUCACAGCAUCCAGAGCAUCCCGUUGGACACAUAAAGACUAAGUUACUUAACUGUGGAGAUUCCUCUCUCUUUCUCUCUCUCCUUCUUUCUCCAAACCCAGAUGUUUGGCAUCUCACCAAUAUCGUCCAAGACCUUCUGGAUUGGGAACAAAAUAAAUGUAGAGAAAGAGGAAGCAGUUUUAGUGAAAGCACCACAGGGAGCAAACCAAUAAAAAAGCAGGAAACUCAGCACAAGCCCGAUUUAUGUCGCUGCAUUUCCCUAGCACUCAGCCUAUUCCUCCAAACCCCAACACACACACACUCGUGUGCACACACACGUGCACUCACACAUGCACAUGUGCACACACACACCACAAGCGCCUGCUCCUAUUAGCUUUCUUUCCUGCUCUCACUUUUCAUUUUAAAGUCAAACAUUGGGUAAAAUUCUCUUUUUAUUUCACUCUCCUUCCCAUCUCUCUGAAAGAGCUUCAGAAGGGGAGUUUUGCAUGAGCGUCCUGAGGGCUCGUGGAUCUGAGACUGUACAGCUCCCUCACCUCCACAUUUCCCUGAUGGUCCUAUCUCUUUUUAAUAGUCAAUAAAACAUUGCUAUAGCCUCUAUUUUAGUUUCUGUUUCUAGACAACAAGAAAGAGAGAAAAGGUAGAAAGGAAGGAAGGGAGGGAGGGAGGAAGGAAAGAAGGGAGGAAGGAAGAAAGGAAGGAAGGGAAAGGAAGGAAGGAAAAGGAAGGAAGGAAAAGAAAGAAAGAAAGAAAAAGAAAGGAAGAAAGAAAGAGACCCAGUCUAUAAACAAAAACAUCAUGGCUUUCCCUUUUUCAACAGCUGGGGACAAUCAUAGCACUUUUGAGUUUUGUUUUGUUUUGUUUUGUUUUGUUUCUGUCAGGAGGCAGAGCCCCAUAGAAGUGAUGGUUCUCUUGGUGGGAACACAGAAGAAGCAAGUUGAGAAUGAGC
rnacentral:lncRNA from 1 species